GAUGAAGAACGUAGCAAAAUGCGAUAAGUAAUGUGAAUUGCAGAAUUCAGUGAAUCAUCGAAUCUUUGAACGCACAUUGCGCCCGCCAGUAUUCUGGCGGGCAUGCCUGUUCGAGCGUCAUUUCAACCCUCAAGCACAGCUUGGUGUUGGGACUCGCGUUAAUUCGCGUUCCCCAAAUUGAUUGGCGGUCACGUCGAGCUUCCUUAGCGUAGUAGUAAAACCCUCGUUACUGGUAAUCGUCGCGGCCACGCCGUUAAACCCCAACUUCUGAAUGUUGACCUCGGAUCAGGUAGGAAUACCCGCUGAACUUAAGCAUAUCAAUAAGCGGAGGA
rnacentral:misc_RNA from 1 species